UGCCGGUCGUUGUUUGGGUUGUGCGUGUUCCUCGCGGCUGUUAUCGCUUUAUUUUGAGUUUGUAAUUCGGUAAAUCGCGUUCAUUUCGAUUGUCCAUCGACUGCACUUAGUUAUUACUGGCGUAUUUAGUGUUUUAUUAGUAGAUAAUCCGGUGUCGAAUAGACAAAAUUGUUAAUUUUUGCGUUCGUUGUGCGUAUUGCAAGAUGGCCGCGUGCUAUCAACUUGUUUACACUGCACUGCAUGCUCGCGAUAUAGUGGUAGCGGUAACUGCAACGUCUUGCAACGUGUGUUGGGAUAUUAUUUCGUUUAAUUGCGGUCUAUCUGUGUCGUUGUGUUUGGUAUGUUGUCCCGGGAACAUGAACAACGUUCUGCAUGGAAGCGGGGAAAGAACGGGAAUUUUGCGUAUACUAAAAAUUUGAAAUCCCUUCUUGUCGUUGCACCGACAAGUGCCGUUGGGCACCGUACGAGGCAAGCGGUAGAAGUGAUUCGUGUUCAGGGCACCGUACGAAGGGGGUGGUAGCAGUGAGUCGUGUUCAGGGCACCGUACGAAGGGAUUUUGCACCUGAGUCUGACAUCGGAGGAGAACCAUUCUUGCAUCAGAUUGACUAAUUUUUCCUGGUUUUAGAGAAUGUGCACCUGAGUCUGACAUCGUAGAAGAACCAUUCUUGCAUCAGAUUGGAUUUUGCACCUGAGUCUGACAUCGUAGAAGAACCAUUCUUGCAUCAGAUUGUAACUAUUGAAUUUCUUUAUCAUUUUCUUAAAUAAUUUUUGUGAUAAUCUCACAAAUUGACCUCCAAAAUUGCAUUUUUAUGUUCGAAGGACUAAUUUUUGC